rnacentral:rRNA from 1 species
CCUACGGGUGGCAGCAGUAGGGAAUCUUUCACAAUGGGCGAAAGCCUGAUGGAGCAACGCCGCGUGCAGGAUGAAGGCCUUCGGGUUGUAAACUGCUUUUAUAAGCGAGAAAUAUGAUGGUAACUUAUGAAUAAGGAUCGGCUAACUACGUGCCAGCAGCCGCGGUCAUACGUAGGAUCCGAGCAUUAUCCGGAGUGACUGGGUGUAAAGAGUUGCGUAGGUGGCAUAAUAAGUAGCUAGUGAAAUCUGGUGGCUCAACCAUUCAGACUAUUAGCGAAACUGUUAAGCUCGAGACCGUUAGGGGUAACUGGAAUUUCUAGUGUAGGAGUGAAAUCCGUAGAGAUUAGAAGGAACACCAAUAGCGUAGGCAGGUUGCUGGGACGGUUCUGACACUAAGGCACGAAAGCGUAGGGAGCAAACGGGAUUAGAUACCCGAGUAGUC